AUCUCUCUGUAGUCCUUUGAUCACAGUUUUAUUUGCUUUUAUGCAUCAGGUCUAUCAUUUAGCAUUUCUCAUUCAUUGCCCCUUUCAACUUAUAAGCAUUGAAUUCAUGAUUGCAGGAUUGUCUCCAGGUGCAAUAGUCGUUCAAGCACAUGCAGUUUUUGGGAGUGAAGUCAAAGAAUAGCUUGGUACUUCUGUGGUUGAGAUUUCAACAGAGGGAUGCUGGUGCAGUAACCAUAUCUAUGUGCAAGGAAUUCUGCUUCUUGCAGCUGUAGGACCAUGAGAUGUCGAUGCUACACGAUACGACACACCAAGGUCCCAGCCAAGUCAGUGAUGUUGCCCCGACUCCCUGUUUCUUCAGCUUGAGGAAGCCCUGUGGCAGCCUGACUCUCUUCUGCCUAUUGUCGUCCUAUCUGACCUGCUACUAGGCAACUACUACUACUCACGUUUGAUAGAUGCUAUCUUGCGUAC